GGCUCCCCUUACAUCCUCAACUCUCACGCCUCUCUCUCUUUCUCUCGGUCUCACUCCUCUUGGCCGGCAAUGGCGUCGCCGGUGAGUGAUGUUGGACGCUAGUCACUCCCUAUCUCCCUCUCGGUUCUCUCUCUUCCUCCGUCUAAUUCUCUCUCUUUUCUUUCUACCGCCGCCCGACCUCCCUCUCUUGGCCACGACUUUCGGCUGCCGGCGUGCAGCCUUGGCAGCGUCGCCCGUCCACCGUUGCCGGUCAUCUCCUCCAAAAGGGCAGAAGCUCUAUUCGAGCAGUAGCGGUGUACGUGCAGCGUCUUUGAGAGCAGGGGGCGCGAAUGCGUGAGGGUAGCAACAACGGAGUGUAUGGCAGCCGACCGCAGCAGCGGCUCCCUUCGGUAGCUCGGUGCUCAUCGAUGCACUCUUAAAAGCUAAGCCCUCAUUUAUGCUUCAUGCCCGAUUAUGAUUAUUGCUUUUAUGGUUAUUGCAAGAUCAUGAUCUACUUGAUUUAGUUUUGAGGAUUUGAGCUUGAGCUUGCUUUUCUCUAAAUUUUCGCAUGCUUAGUUAUUGCACUAGAAAAUGCGUUGAGAUACCUAAGUUCAUGAUACUAUGUUGAGCAUGCUUGGCAAAAUGAUAGUAUGAAUAAGCUAUGAAUAAAGAUUGGUUUCAAGAGCAUUUACCUUUGAUGAAGAGUAUAGUAAAUGGGUAAUGAGUAAUGGGUGAGAGAGAGCUUCAUCCUCUUGUUCCUUUUACUAUCCUUUCCAUCUUCUGCUUGAACUCACUAGUAACUCACUAUUUGAGUCUUACUUGCUCUCUUGUUUGAUAAAAAAAUGAAUGUGUUAAAGAUUUUGUAUGGAUGAACAAAAGAAAGAUGAAUGGAGGUGUGGAGUAUUUAUAGGCAAAGAGGGUGCAUGAUUUUACAUGGAUAAUCCCAUAAUUUAUGAAAGCAAAGUGUUGUCCAAGAGUUAAUGACUUCUUACCAAAAGGGGUAAGUUGUCACACCCAUCAUUCACACUAUCAUUUUUGGAAAGAAUCUUAUAUCUCGUCAUCUAAAAUGACGGCUAACAAGUACAACCGUCAUUUGGGAAACCUGCAGCGUCGUUGGGAAACGUGCUUGUGAUGCGAAUUAUGUCAAACAUCUUGUCUUGAUUUGAAUGAUGUGAUGGUAAUGUGACUAAUAUUUAUCUAUCUUUUGUAGGUUCUGGAAGUGUGAGAUGUUGCAAUCGAUAUAAGCACGAAACGAAGGUAGAGAUGAGGCGAGCUCGGCGCCCGGCUCGAUGUCGGCACCGACCAUCGGCUCGACGCCUUUACGGCUGUCCGGUCCGGGAUGUGCACACCUGCCGAGACUUGGGGCACGUCUCCUCUUUUUGUUGUAUUCUCGAUAUUCAAAUUGUAAUAGCGUAGGGCUUUUAAAAAAAAUCUUUUUGAACUUGUGUUAAAAGAACUCAUAGAUUUUUAUACCGUAUUUAGUAAAACUUUUAAACGUCUUUGAGCA